rnacentral:rRNA from 1 species
CUGCCAAGGUUGUUACGGGUAACGGGGAAUCAGGGUUCGAUUCCGGAGAGGGAGCCUGAGAAACGGCUACCACAUCCAAGGAAGGCAGCAGGCGCGCAAAUUACCCAAUACAGACAAUGUGAGGUGGUGACGAAAAGUACCGGAUGGCGACAUUGUUGCCAGUCUGGAAUGAAAACAAUUUAAGCAAUUGAAUUGAGUAACGACUGGAGGGCAAGUCUGGUGCCAGCAGCCGCGGUAAUUCCAGCUCCAGUAGCGUAUCUCAAAGUUGCUGCGCUUAAAACGCUCGUAGUUGGAUCACUCACUAUGCAUUGAUGUAUUUGAUUUCAAUAAUUUGACAACAUACCUUUGGUAACAUUGGUCACUGUUGGUAAAGAUUGGAACAAGUAAUUCAGUCAGUGUAUAGUAAUUGCAUGUGAGGACGAUUGUUGACCUUGAGUGUGUUGAUGAUUGUAUCUCACAGGGCGUGCCUUGAGUAAAUCAGAGUGCUUAAAGCAGGCGAAAGCUUGAAUGUUAUUAGCAUGGAACGAACAAUCGUGUAUGGUGUGUGCUGAUAACGACACGUGGAGUUCGCUCCCGUGCCGCGGCAUACGACACCGACUACCAAUUACGGAUGUUGGUUCCGUAUUGGGGUACUGAUUAAGAGGAGCGGUUGGGGGCAUUAGUAUUUGGCAGCGAGAGGUGAAAUUCUUAGACCUGCCAAGGACUAACAAAUGCGAAGGCAUCUGUCCAGACCGUAUCCAUUGAUCAAGAACGAAAGAGAGAGUUUCGAAUACGAUCAGAUACCGUAGUAGUUCUCUCUGUAAACUAUGCCGACCCGGGAUCAGUUUGGAGCUAUUAUUCCAUGCUCGGAGUUGGUCCCCCUGGGAAACCUAAAGUUUUUCGGUUGCGGGGGGAGUAUGGUCGCAAGGCUGAAACUUAAAGGAAUUGACGGAAGGGCACCACCAGGGGUGGAGCCUGCGGCUUAAUUUGACUCAACACGGGAAAACUUACCUGAUCAAGACAUCAGGAGGAUAGACAGACUAAUGCUCUUUCUUGAUUUGAUGAUUGGUGGUGCAUGGCCGUUCUUAGUUCGUGGAGUGAUCUGUCAGGCCAAUUCCGGUAACGAACGAGACCACAGUCUCCAUUUGAUGAGCUGUAGAAGGUAUCAGUGAUGACUGUAGUUGGCAACAAUUACUAUUGUUACUGGUACUGCAGGCAAUUGCGCGAUUGUUGGGGUUCUUGGACUCUGGCAAUAUGUGUAAUCUCCCUUAGGCCACGCAGUACCGUCCAGCGAUGGAUAGGUGUUGCAUCAUGGAGAGACAGCGGAAAAUAUAAC